rnacentral:rRNA from 1 species
GAUGAACGCUGGCGGCGUGCCUAAUACAUGCAAGUCGAACGAAACUUCUUUAUCACCGAGUGCUUGCACUCACCGAUAAAGAGUUGAGUGGCGAACGGGUGAGUAACACGUGGGCAACCUGCCCAAAAGAGGGGGAUAACACUUGGAAACAGGUGCUAAUACCGCAUAACCAUAGUUACCGCAUGGUAACUAUGUAAAAUGUGUCUAUACUACCGCUUUUGGAUGGGCCCGCGGCGCAUUAGCUAGUUGGUAGGGUAAAGGCUUACCAAGGCAAUGAUGCGUAGCCGAAUUGAGAGGUUGAUCGGCCACAUUGGGACUGAGACACGGCCCAAACUCCUACGGGAGGCAGCAGUAGGGAAUCUUCCACAAUGGGCGAAAGCCUGAUGGAGCAACGCCGCGUGGGUGAAGAAGGUCUUCGGAUCGUAAAACCCUGUUGUUAGAGAAGAAAGUGCGUGAGAGUAACUGUUCACGUUUCGACGGUAUCUAACCAGAAAGCCACGGCUAACUACGUG